rnacentral:lncRNA from 1 species
UUCACAUUAGCACGUCGUACAUGUACUUUACAUUUAUUAGCUAAGUUUUUAGUUAUGGUCUUUUUUUAUUAAUUUAACACCACUUCAAAUAUAUAUAUAUAUAUAUAUCCUUGCACCAAAAGGCGAAAUCCCUCGCCCCCAGGGCCCCCAUCCCUUGGCCCGACAACGAUUGAUGGAGGAAUGUAAAUCAUGGUAACUC